UGCCUUCUUCGGUGGUGGUGAGCGCAACCUCCUCCGCUUCUGGUGUGCCUUCUUUAGUGGUGACGAGUGCAACCUCCUCCACUUCAUCUGUGAGGGCGGAGAUGCGGUGAGGGUAGGAGAGGCGGCUGAGGGUGCGGGCUAGUGAAGAGGUGGCCAACAGUACGAUGAGGGCAAGGAGGUUGUCGCCUGUCUGGCAAAGAUGUGGAUGUGGUGAGGGCAUGGAAAGGCAGCCGAGGGCGUGGGUUGGCGAAGAAAUGGUUAAGAGUGCAGCAAUGGUAGAGAUGCAGUCGAACAAAGAUGCGGCAAAUGGGUUAAUAAAUAGUUUUUUUAAUUUUUCUAUAUUUUUU
rnacentral:lncRNA from 1 species